rnacentral:rRNA from 1 species
UACAGAGGUCCCGAGCGUUGUUCGGAUUCACUGGGCGUAAAGGGUGCGCAGGUGGGUUGGCAAGUUUGAUGUGAAAGCCCCGGGCUUAACCCGGGAAUGGCAUUGAAUACUGCUGAUCUGGAGGAUCGGAGGGGGGACUGGAAUUCUUGGUGUAGCAGUGAAAUGCGUAGAGAUCGGGAGGAACACCAGUGGCGAAGGCGGCUACCUGGACCAGCACUGACACUGAGGCACGAAAGCGUGGGGAGCAAACAGG